GAUGAACGCUGGCGGCGUGCCUAAUACAUGCAAGUCGAGCGAACAGACGAGGAGCUUGCUCCUCUGACGUUAGCGGCGGACGGGUGAGUAACACGUGGAUAACCUACCUAUAAGACUGGGAUAACUUCGGGAAACCGGAGCUAAUACCGGAUAAUAUAUUGAACCGCAUGGUUCAAUAGUGAAAGACGGUUUUGCUGUCACUUAUAGAUGGAUCCGCGCCGCAUUAGCUAGUUGGUAAGGUAACGGCUUACCAAGGCAACGAUGUGUAGCCGACCUGAGAGGGUGAUCGGCCAAACUGGAACUGAGACACGGUCCAGACUCCUACGGGAGGCAGCAGUAGGGAAUCUUCCGCAAAGGGCGAAAGCCUGACGGAGCAACGCCGCGUGAGUGAUGAAGGUCUUCGGAUCGUAAAACUCUGUUAUUAGGGAAGAACAAAUGUGUAAGUAACUAUGCACGUCUUGACGGUACCUAAUCAGAAAGCCACGGCUAACUACGUG
rnacentral:rRNA from 1 species